GGGGCCGUGGUCUAGUGGUUUAUGACGCUUCCCUGUCACGGAAGAGAUCGCCGGUUCGAAUCCGGUCGGCCCCGCCA
rnacentral:tRNA from 1 species